rnacentral:rRNA from 1 species
GUUAGGAAUAUUGGACAAUGGGCGCAAGCCUGAUCCAGCCAUGCCGCGUGAGUGAUGAAGGCCUUCGGGUUGUAAAGCUCUUUAGCCGAUGAUUAUAAUGACUGUAGUCGGAAAAUAAGCCCCGGCUAACUUCGUGCCAGCAGCCGCGGUAAUACGAAGGGGGCGAGCGUUAUUCGGAAUCACUGGGCGUAAAGCGUUCGUAGGCGGCUUUGCAAGUUGGGAGUGAAAGGCCAGGGCUCAACCCUGGAAUUGCUCUCAAAACUGCAAGGCUCGAAUUCGGGAGAGGAUAGCGGAAUUGUCAGUGUAGCAGUGAAAUGCGUAGAUAUUGACAGGAACACCAGUGGCGUAAGCGGCUAUCUGGACCGAUAUUGACGCUGAGGCACGAAAGCGUGGGGAUCAAACAGGAUUAGAUACCCCUGUAGUCC